AUGGCUGAUCAAUCUAAGAGAUUUGUUGUUGGUGUGCCAAACAGCAAUAAUGGUGAAACUCAUCCAAAAAUGCCACCUUCUUAUCAAAUUCCUUUGCCCGGAAGGAAUCGCCAUAAUAGCUACUACAAUUACAAUAGGAGUUGGAGGCAAAGGUUUCUUCACUUAGGGCAGAACAAAGGCAACUCCAAAAGUGAAAAUGAGCAAUCAACUUUGAAGACCUAG